GCUUAACACAUGCAAGUCGAACGGGCGUAGCAAUACGUCAGUGGCAGACGGGUGAGUAACACGUGGGAACGUACCUUUUGGUUCGGAACAACACAGGGAAACUUGGUGCUAAUACCGGAUAAGCCCUUACGGGGAAAGAUUUAUCGCCGAAAGAUCGGCCCGCGUCUGAUUAGCUAGUUGGUAGGGUAACGGCCUACCAAGGCGACGAUCAGUAGCUGGUCUGAGAGGAUGAUCAGCCACAUUGGGACUGAGACACGGCCCAAACUCCUACGGGAGGCAGCAGUGGGGAAUAUUGGACAAUGGGGGCAACCCUGAUCCAGCCAUGCCGCGUGAGUGAUGAAGGCCCUAGGGUUGUAAAGCUCUUUUGUGCGGGAAGAUAAUGACGGUACCGCAAGAAUAAGCCCCG
rnacentral:rRNA from 1 species